rnacentral:misc_RNA from 1 species
UCCGGUUUAACACCGGCAGUCUCCUUAGAGUUCUCAGCUUUACCUGCUAGUAACUAAGGACAAGGGUUGCGCUCGUUACGGGACUUAACCCAACAUCUCACAACACGAGCUGACGACAGCCAUGCAGCACCUGUCUCUGCGUUCCUUUCGGCACUCCAACCAUUACGUCAGAUUCGCAGGAUGUCAAGGGUAGGUAAGGUUCUUCGCGUUGCAUCGAAUUAAACCACAUGCUCCACCGCUUGUGCGGGCCCCCGUCAAUUCAUUUGAGUUUCAACCUUGCGGCCGUACUUCCCAGGCGGAGAACUUAUCGCGUUAGCUUCGAUACUCAUGGAUCGCUCCACAAACAUCUAGUUCUCAUCGUUUACAGCGUGGACUAC